rnacentral:tRNA from 1 species
GGGUCCAUAGCUCAGUCGGAAGAGCAACCGGCUUUUAACCGGUUGGCCGGAGGUUCGAACCCUCCUGGACCCACCA